rnacentral:lncRNA from 1 species
UAUCUAUUUGUCAACAUUGAUUACAAUGAAAAAUGGGACCUCACAUCCAAGUUAUUCUUUUGGAAUAAGCAACUGCGAGUAACACCAAUAUUUAGUUUAGCCUAUAGUUAUUUAUUUUUUGGACACACAAGAAAUUAGUAAUGAAGAUAUACAAAUUUGUAUACCGAACAGACACGUUUGCAUUUUCUCUUAAAUCAAUCAUACAUGAGUUACAAUACUCAUAUAAUGUCUAUUUUGCUUCAUUGCAAUCCAUUCUUAUGGAAUGAUGCGUUGCUUUUUUGAGUCCCACAACACCGCGCGGGGUAUCCACUAGUUGUCAUAUACUCCUUACGUCCAUAUUAAGUGACUCAAAGUUGCCCAAAUAUGAAUGUAUCUAUACCGAAAAAGCAGUUGGAUACAUUUAAUAUUUCAUCACUUAAUAUGAAAUUGAGGGAGUAUUAUAAAAACCAAAUGAUAACUGUACAAUUAAAAGAAAAGGAAAUAGCUAACUAUCUAGAGGAAGACAUCAUGUUCCAAAAUCUGCAUAUUUGUUUCUCCUUCAUCUGUGUCGGACAAGAUUUAAUUCCUCCAAGAAGAGCUCUCCGUAUCUUAGAGCCUAGGCUGAAUUUGGUUGAAAAUGUCAUCAUUUCUAGUUUUCCAGAUACUCCAUGCAGCCAGAACUUGAAUUUCCUUUUUUUUUCCCGAAGAACUUGAAUUUCCAUGUGGAAAGGAAUUUGCAGCUCGUCUUUCAGAUGUGAUAUAUUCUCAUGAACAUUAUGUUAAUUAGCCGUGAAAUGAGGGCAUAAAUAUGACCAACAUGCUGCGACAAAAGGGCAGUGGACGAACAUGUGGUAGUCUCCAAGACCCUGGAUCCACAGAGGACAUAAUCAUAUGAUGGAAGACGGAACCGUUUCUUCUGUAGCAUAGCACAAGUGUUGAGUUUAUCAAUGAGCAGCAACCAGAAAAAAAUUGUGUUUCAGUUGCAUCUGAUGCCCAAACCGUAGCCCCUCAGCCAUGGCCUCUGUUAACGACAUUUCUAACUGCAUGUCUGUGCUGACUAGGUAAGAAAUUUCUAGAAUUAAGUUCAAACAGUAGCAUAAAAUUGGAAUUUAAUAAAUCUCACUAUUUCAGCAAACCUAAAUGAACUGAAAUUUCAAAUGUGCAACAAGAAGAAUUUUUUAUGUUGGGCAAAAACCCAAAGUCCUCGGACAAGGUGGAGGCGGUGGCGGUGCGCUCACCCUUGAGAGCGUCGUUGGGGAAAUUCUAGAUCCACGCACGGGUGAGGGAUCUUUGGUCGGAGGGCAGCUGGGCGCGUAUCGAUUUCUCUACAUUGCGUCAUUCAAUGCUAGGCUUGGCAGUUUCAAUGUUUCAAAUUUAUGUCCUAAAGAUGGGUUGAUGGAAGACGGUGGGGGCUGAUUUUAGAGCGAGCGUAAAUAGCAUGCUCUGAAUGGCGAUGGUGUACAAGUAAGGCAUGUGGCCCAGAUAAAUGAUCACCUCUUCAUCAGCCUUGUGGGUAUAACUUGAUGGCUUUGUGUUUGAUCAUUUGAUGUAUCAUUCUAUCUGUCUUGUUAAGUACAACGACAAGUAUUUAGGAACGAAAAGAGUAAAUCAUAAAAAUGACUAUGUGCUUUUUUUUUAAUGGAGAGGCCAGAAUUUCAACCUUGGGAAGAACAAGAUGAAUUUUUAACUCCUUGAUGAAUUUGUACACUUUGUACUAACACGGAGCGAGCUGGCAACCGAUUAGUUCACUUUGUACUGACACGGAGCGAGCUGGCAACCGAUUAGUUCACUUUUACACGUGUGGCAUAAAAAGAGGCAGAGCAUACACGUGCCCGAUGAGGAGCUUCGUGCAGACUUGGGAGUCGAGACAUAGGCGAGGCUGCUCCGCCGGCCGACACCGCCCAUUGUUGCUGUUGCUGCCUUGCGCCGGCCCUUGCUUCUUUGCCACUUUGCCUUGCCGAUUGAUUUCUUCUGCACCUGCACACGACCGGCCACCAUGCGGCAGACAGAAGACGGGCUCCCAAUGAGGCGGUAAGAACCUUUCUCAUCCUCUUUCUAUCUGACCUUUCGUGGCAUUGCAUCAGAUCUAUUUCUGUAAAUAAUCUUGGCGCUUGUUAAGCCGGGUAAGAAGCCGAAAUAGUCAGUUAACUACACCUUAUUUUGAGGAGGUAUAUCUGCAGAUCAACGAGUCGCUCAAGCCAAAUGCGUGGAAUCGCACAAGAGGUGUGUACUGUGUAGAUGAACUUUUGUUCGAAAUCUUUUUUAAGUCGUACCCCCUCUGUUCCAAGUUGUUAUAGCUUUGUACUAAGUCAAAAAAUUUACAAUUUGACCAAAUUUUAUAGGAAUAUCUACCAAUAUCUAUAACUCUAUAUUAGUUUUAUUAAAUUCGUCAGGAUAUAUAUCUUCAUAGUAUACUUAUUUGAUAUUGUUUUUUAUGUUAGUACAGUUUCUAUAAACUCGUCAAAUUUUAACAAGUUUUACAUUGGACAAAGCUAGAGCAACUUAUAUUUAGGAAAAGAGGUAGUAGAAGAUUGUGGAUGUUAACAGAAGACAUACCCUGCUUACAUUAGCAAAUAAGUACUCCUUAUUAUGGAUUUCUUAUACAUAUAUCGAUAUAUAUAUACUAAUUCAUUAACGUUUACUGCAGCGUGCUAAACUGCAAGAUGCACCUUCGAAGAAUGCAAAAUGGAGAACAGUAGGUAACGGUAAUUUACAAUUGCAAAUUUAUAUUCAGAUGGUGCCUUUUCAUUCUGUAUAUAUACUCCCUCUGUCCAACAAAGGAUGUGUCAACUUUGACUAAAUUUGAAUGUAUCUAUACACUAAGUCAUGUCUAGAUACAUCCAAAUUUUGGCAAACUUGAGACAUCUUUUGUUGGACAGAGGGAGUAUCAGACUUCUUAAUCAGUUGAUCAAAUUUAUAUAUCAGACUUCAUGAAUAAAUAUUUUUGUCAGUAAAUGUAUGCAAAAUUGCUUGCAAUGCAAUAAUGCAUGGACAUGAAGACAUCUGUAACCUUAUUUUUUUUGGAGGGGAAGCUCAGAACCUCCACUAAAUCAGCGAUUGAGAAUUGCAGUCUGCCCAAAGACAAUGCAUCAAAAUGCUCAGUUUCAUAGCCCAAGCAAGCCCAAAUUUGGCACACCAAUGCGCUGAAGUAUGCGUAAGUAAGAAGACUGCUUAGGCUCCCUUUGGCAUUGCGGUGGAUUAUCAUAAUCCCGUUUUUUUCACCCGCUUUUCACUAUUUUCGUGUUUGGCUAACCAACUUUUCCCUACUUUUGUGUGUAUUUUUUCACAGCAGAUUAUAAAACAAGUUCAGCGCAGCACAGUUCAGCAAUGCCAAACUGAGCCUCAUUAAUAAAUUGUUUAGGAGAAGAUGCUUGCCAUCAUUAGUAACUUUUGAAUCUUAAUGAGGGGAAAUGAUGCUAAAAUGAACCCCGCAGAGGGAGCAACGAACUGGACCACAAUUCUUUGUUUUAGACAAUGGAAGCUUUACUGAGAUCACACUUCUACUUCACAUUUUACUCUGUAUCAUGUAUCCUGAAUUCCUCACCCUUCUAUCACUACUUUCAUCCAUAACUACAGCUUGUCGGUAGUCUCCACAAACCAUCAAUUCAUGGUUUUUAACAUUAAUGGUUGCCUGAAUUUUCUUCUUCUGUUUAGCAGAGUGCAUCCACCGCAAGACAGGUGUCUACUCGUUCAAGAAGAGGCGCAGAUGGUCAGAAGAGGAAAGUUAUAUUAGUUCUUAUCAGAGACUUUCAAUUUUUUUGCUGUAUACUUUGACAAUUUAAAUAUGAAAUAAAAAUGAAAUUAUUUCAGGAAGAUGACGUUCUGAUUCAAAUGGUACAAAAUCUUGGCACAAAGAAUUGGUCAACUAUUGCUUGUGCUAUGCCUCUUCGUAGUCGUUACCAAUGCCGGGAGAGGUACAGUUUACAGAAAUCACGCUAUUUGACUGAUUCCAUUUGGAUGCUAUUUCAAAAUUUAAGCGAUUCAACCUAGCCAUUUCUUUUGAUUCUAGCUAGAUUCAGUACAACUGUAGAAGUUCUGUAUUUCGAUGAGAUCUCUAGCUGCAUGUAUAUGCUUAGCUUUCUUUUCUUUACUGUGGCCAUGAACCUGUCAUUCACGACCAUGACUGCUGUUGUCUUGUUGAUCCUCGGGCAGCCUCAGGCUCAUUGUCAGCGUGGCCUACCUAUGGUGCCACACCUGCUAACUUACAUGUUGUAUGAUAAAAAGUAAAUUUAAUCUUUGUUGAUAAACUUCUUAUAUGUUUUACUUUUGGUGCUAAUGUCUUAAAAAUUCAAUACUAGGAAGUAAGAACACUAGUUAAUUUAUCAUGUUUGGUGUCCCUCAGAGAUGAGGGACUAUUUUUUUUUGCAUGAUGAUAUUUUUCGGAAACUCAGAUGCUGGAAAAAGUUGAAAGGAGAUGCUAGAAAUUUUGUUGCACUACACACCACAUUACAAAUCUACCUUUUGUUGUGGUGGCGAUUUCUGAAUUCUCGUUGUUGUGGUCUAUUAUUCCCUAUUUUAAAUUCACCCUUUCAUAGUAUUGUUUCUGAACUAAAUGAGGAUUUUCCAUAUGGAAAAUGGGGAUGCAGGUGGACAUAUUACCUCAACCCUGCUUUGAAUAGACAGGCAUGGUCAGAACAGGAUGAGGUAACACUGAUCCAUGCUCAUGAAAUGCAUGGAAACAAGUGGCGUGAACUGGCUAAACUUUUUCCAGGGAGGUAAGAUUCCAAGAAGGGGAUUAAAAAUUGAAAGACAAAUCUCUCGUAUUCAGUUUUUUUACGUGAAUCUCGUGCUCAGUUUGUUUAUUGUUUCCUUAUUCAUGGGAUUCCAGUAAUACUAUUAACCAGACCAUAUAGCUGAUCUCAAUCUAUGUUAUCACUAGUCAGUUACAGUACAGAUUGGCAUCCAUUAUGAAGUUAUGUACCUUCCGAUCAUCCAAAAUGGAUGGUCAACAGUAAUCUGGAUUUGUCUUUAAAAAACUGUAUCAUAUUUUCAUUAUUACUCUCUCCGAUCCAUAAAAAGUGUCGCACAUUUUGUACUAAGUUAGUACAAAUUUUGUACUAAGUGGGCGACACUUUUUAUGGAUAGGAGGGAGUACAUUGCGUUUCAUUUCAUUCUCCAAAAUGUAAAAUUCAGUGCAUUAUUCUUACCUAUAAUUUGUUGCAAAUGGUUAUGUCAUGUACUGCCAGGACGGGAAAAGCAGUAAAGAAUCACUGGAACGGUCAUAUGAAGAGGAAAUUGAAAUCGUAUUUAGCCAGAGGGUUGCCGAAGCAAUUCCAAAAUCUGCCCGUCGAUCCAUCAGUUUCAAACAGGGGCUGGAGUACCCCGAAAGGUAGUCAAGACUCAUUCAAUAAUAAUCAACUUCCAUCCGAUUUGCUGAUAUGGUCCGAAUCUAAGCGAGGGCUCACAGAGACUGGUGAAAACGCAAGUAUGCUUGAUGGACAAAGUUCUGAUUCCAUAAGGUCUGUGUCGGAAGGGAAGCCAAUGAGUUCUUCACCUAAAGGAUUUGGUGCACGUUCAGCUGAUGCCCAGCCAAAGGUGGAUGCAGGGGAUGGUCAAAUUGAUAGAGUAGUAUCAAAGUUUCCUGUAGUAACCGACAAUGACAUGGAAACGGUUGUGUCAUCAAGUUCAGUGGAUCUGAAGGUGUGCGUUGCUGCACCAAGUUUUGUAAGGUCUACGUCAGAGGAGAAGCAAAUGAGUUACACAGGCUUAUCUCCAGCUCAUAGUUCCCAAUCUCGUUAUGCACAUCUCGACGAGUUGUCGGAGCUACACCAGUCUGAUAUAGCUGAUCUUCUGGACAUGUCGUAUUGCGAGAGCUUGAUGAUCAUCCCUCCCGACUCUCCACAAAGUGGCAAUGGUGGCGUGCCUGGAAUGUGAUAUUAUCGUCUUAAGUAUGUCAGGUAUCUGCAACCUGCACUAUCUAGUUGGAGAAAAAAGUGAGACUUGUGCUCCUUGGUCUUGAAACGUAUGCAGCUUUAUCUUGAACCACCAAUGUAUCAUUCUCGUCGGGUUAUUAAGUGGAGGAGAUUUGCAAAAUGAUGUGUUCAUCUGUCCAUAAGGUCUGCAUUUCAUUCAGUUGACAAUGCUCCUAUUGGUACUGGAGAAGAGCAAAUGUUGUUCGAUGCAUCUCGACUAAGCACCUCUAAAGAAAAAGUAUGUCUUAAGCUGACUCGAUAGAGAUCGAGUUUUACGAUUAUAUUAGUAUUAUACUCCCUCCGUUCCAUAAUUUUUGUCGAAAUAUUACAAUUAUGAUGUAUCUAACGCCAUUUUUAAGCAAAUUUGAGACAAGAAUUAUGAAACAGAGGUAGUAUGUUAGAGUCUAACUCUUAACAAAAAGUCAAUUUUACCCUCCUCAAUUGCAUCAGCAAUUGUUCUAGGUAACAGUACAUGGAGUCCUCGUGUCUUGAUUCUGUAGAUGCUCUUCAGCUACCAUAUUGAUUCCUAUAUAUGCGCCAUAUCAAGUGAUCAACUACCUACCUGACAACCAAGAUUAUCCCCUGAGCAUAUAUCCUCCAUUAGCCCCAUUGAAAACAAGCCGAUGAGCCAAGAUGGUGGUCGGCACAGCUAAGCAGAAUCAACGCAGCCACACGAGGGAAGGAGUGGCCGGGAGCAUUCUCCUCCCCAUUUUCCCCGGGCAAUCUAAACAAGGCAAGGCAACGGCAACCACCCGGGGCAGAAACUGGGCGACACAGGGGAAGGGAUUUAAUCGUCUCCCCCGGCCCAGCCCCCCCGUCGACAUGCACCCCACGUUCGCGCCCUGCUUAAAUUAGGCAGGUGCCGCGCGAUCGCUCGACCCCGGACCUUUUUUUUUUAAUUUUUCCCCGGGGGCCGGACGGACGAAUCCGCCUUAAUUUCUUCUUGUUUCCCCUUCAAUUCGUUCCCCCCCAUGCCGGCCGUAUUCGUAGUAGCAGUCGUCGUCGUGCGCCGCAUGUCUUGGACGACGCCAGUUCUUCUCUCUUGAUUUUUUGCUUUGUGUUUGUUGCUCGCUCGGUCGCCCUGCUUCUUGUUGCUGCUGCCAUUGUUGUCGAUUCUGCUGCUGCUCUGAGGAAUUGUUGGUCCGACGGUGCUGCUAGCUAGCUGGUGAUCUUGGUCGACUUCGUCACGGCGGCAGCGGCGGUGCUCCAGCGUCCAGGGGGCCUGGACGCCUUGCGCACAAAGUUCCCAGCAGUUAGUGCGCGUUGGGCGUCAAGCUCGAGGCGGUGGGCUGGGUGAUGGUUCGGUUCCUCCGGCGCCACAGCCUUGACAAGAGCAGCUCCCGCAACCACCUGCAGCAGCAGCAGCAGCAGAAUCGAGAGGCAGACAACAGCGACGCCGAGAUGACCGACGGGAGCACUCCCCCGCUCCCCAAUGGCCGGGCCGCGCCGAGGGGCCGGCGCGACGGGCCGCCCUCAGGUACUCACUGACGUCUUUGCAUUUUUCUACAUUACGACAGUUAGCCGUCAAUUUGAUGCGAUCAAGGAAUAACGAAUGGUUUGUUUGGUGCUAGAUUUGGACGUGAUGAAGGAGAAGUUCGCCAAGCUGCUGCUGGGCGAGGACAUGUCGGGCACGGGCAAAGGCGUGUCGUCGGCGCUGGCGCUGUCGAAUGCCGUGACGAACCUGGCUGCGUCCGUGUUCGGCGAGCACCGCAAGCUGGAGCCCAUGGCGCCCGACACCAAGGAGCGCUGGAAGAAGGAGGUGGGCUGGCUGCUGUCCGUCACGGACCACAUCGUGGAGUUCGUGCCCACGCGCCAGACCGCCGAGAACGGCACCACCAUGGAGAUCAUGUCCACGUCGCAGCGCCGCGACCUCGCCAUGAACAUCCCCGCCCUGCGCAAGCUCGACGCCAUGCUCAUCGUCAGUACAGACAGUACUUCUUUCUGGCUGCUGCAAUGCAACUCGAGUUAAAUCGAUAAUUGUUGAUUGAGAUCAAAUGCACAGGGGUACAUGGACAACUUCGUGGACCAGACGGAGUUCUGGUACGAGAAGGGCGGCGACAACAAGCGCGACGACGACAAGUGGUGGAUGCCGACGGUGAAAGUGCCCGCGGAGGGGCUGUCGGAGGUGACCCGGAGGUGGCUGCAGUACCAGAAGGAGUGCGUGAACCAGGUGCUGAAGGCGGCCAUGGCCAUCAACGCGCAGGUGCUGGUGGAGAUGGAGAUCCCGGAGGUGUACAUCGAGUCGCUGCCCAAGAAGGGCAAGACGAGCCUGGGCGACGCCAUCUACCGCAGCAUCACGGACGAGGACUUCGACCCCAUCGAGUUCCUGGAAGGCGUGGACCUCUCCACGGAGCACAAGGUGCUCGACCUCAAGAACCGCAUCGAGGCCUCCACCAUCAUCUGGAAGCGCAAGAUGCAGACCAAGGACACCAAGUCCUCCUGGGGCUCCAUCAUCAGCUUCGAGAAGCGCGAGCAGUUCGAGGAGCGCGCCGAGACCAUCCUCCACCUCCUCAAGCUCCAGUUCCCCGGCACCCCCCAGUCCCAGCUCGACAUCUCCAAGAUCCAAUACAACAGGGUACGUACGUUGCAAUGUUGCAUACAUGACCCAUUUAUGUUGCGUUGUGGGGAAUUUGGAUUGACGCCCGUCAUCAAUCAUGUUGUAAAAUGCAGGAUGUGGGGUACGCGCUGUUGGAGAGCUACUCGAGGGUGCUGGAGAGCCUGGCGUACAGCGUGAUGUCGAGGAUCGAGGACGUGCUGGGGGCGGACGCGGCGGCGACGAACCUGACGGCGAGCGAGGCGGCGAGGAGGCAGGAGAUGGACGCGCCGAGGAAGCUGGACGCCAGGGAGGAGCUGGAGAAGCUCAACGAGGCGCCGGCGUCCAUGACGCUCUACGACUUCAUGGGCUGGCACUUCGACCAGGACGAGCUCAUGCGGAAGAAGGAGGAAGGCACGCUCGACGAGGCCGGCGAGGCCAAGCUCAAGAAGGCGCCCAGCCAGCUCGCGCCCAAGAAGUUCUCCUACGUCGACAGCCUCGCCGGAUCAGGCAUGCGGAGCCCCUCCGCGCGCCAUUGAUACUUCAUUUCUUCGUCGUUACAGAACUGGCACAAAUUGAGCAAGACAACAAUGGGGGACGAUGGAUGGAUCCAACAGCAGAGAUGGGCAUGGCUAUUGUACAUAUCUGGGGCACACAACACACACACACGCUACGUACUGGAGAUCGAUCUUCACUGGACUGCCGAGAGAUCACCAUCAGCUCGAACCGAUCAGUCGGCCUCGUUCUUCUCCUACCGACCCUAUCUUCUUGACAAGGGGAAAGAAAGAACGAAGACGAUGAUCUGAUCUGCUGACUCUACAAUUUACUAGUACAUCUCUUUGCUCUCCGUCCGACAUGCAAGAAGGGUUGCUGUUGUACGUACGUAGCUACUGAUUUUCACACAAACAAACAAACAAAACCUAGUAUGUAUUUUUGUACCUAGUUCUGAAUUUACUCUCCGGAAGAGGAGACGCUAAACUCUGGGGUAUAUGUAUGCGACUUACUACUACCACGCGGCCAAACACAUUGUAUAUUCAUUCAUUUGAUUCAAGCUAAUCUUUUCUAGACUCGAUUCUCCUAUUUGAAUGCUUAUUUCUUGCCUGGCUAUUAUAUUGUCAAAGAGACUCAGAAACACACUUGCUUUGCCUCAUGGACUCCAGCCUCAAAACUUUUCCAUCACACAGGACACGGCACUACAGUACAGUCAGUACUGGCUUGUACACGGAAACAUGAUUUGCCUAAGUAUCCGUUUAAGCCAUGCCAGGGGAUCCCAACUCCUUUCUGCUGACUACAGUACAGAGAGCAAUGUGCAUCAGAUUGAGGCUGCUUGCUAUUUACUCCUCCCAACCCCCCAGGGGAAUACCAAAUCAUUGAAACCGAUGAAAAUGUGAAGGCAAAAAAAAGAGACAAAACCACAUAUAACUUGACUUGCUAACUAACCCCUCAUUUUCAUUGCUCUAUAGUAGAGAAAGAACGAAACAACACACUUACACUUUUAGCCGUAGGACCUGAGCCGAGGAUAUACAACAUCAUCAGCCUCAAGGAAUAACUGGAGCACUAUGUACAUCUGUUUAUACACAAGUCAGCUCUCUAAAUCAUUUUCCUGCCUGUGUUGAACCGAAGCUUUUGGGCUAGGAGUAUUGUGCUCUACAUAAUCAUCCGAAGCUUCCUCCUCAUCAUCUGAAGAUAGAAGAGAUGAUCCCAUCCAUGUUUUGAAACCAUCAUUUACGCGUCGUUGCAUCUCUGGGGUCACUUCUAUUGUGGUCUCAAGCAUCUCAAGGCCCACACUGUGGGUAGCAUAAUCACCCUCAUCAAGGACAGCUGCCGCUUUCCUUCUCAAGAAGAAGGCUGUGCCACCAUAUAGGAUUACCAAACCCCAUGCUGUAAUUUCAUAACACCAGAAGAGAGGGACCGAACAACUACUUCCAAGGGCCAGAAGCGUUGACCCAAGAAUUAUAGCCAUGAGACCAAAUAUGAUGGCAAAAACUGCAUUAAGUAUAGACAGGCAACGCACACCACCUGCAGAUCCAAGUUGAUAUUGAUUACUGAAGAAGUGUAGAUAUGCAUAACUGGAAGGGAAUGCAUUUUGAUAGUAAUUAUAUGUGCAUGCAUAAUAGGACCCAGUUCUACACACACGGAAGAGAACUAUGACCGGUGAUACCGGUACCAAGUCACAUUAGGAAAAUACUUAAGUCCCUCCAUCCGGAAAUAAGUGAAUUGGAUUUGUAUAGAUUCUUAUACAAAUCCAAGUCACUUAUUUGACGGAGGGAGUACAACAGGUAUAUGAAAUUUCUGCCAUUCAUAACUGAUGCUGUGACUAGUUACUAUCUCAGAUUGGUAACACUCUUUAACAUAAACACAGCCAUAAGAUACUAAAUGGAUCUGGAAGACAAAGCCAUCGAAAAUAGUUGGCUCCCCAUUUAUCGCCCAUUGUAAAGCAAUGUUAAUGCAAUUGGUACCGUUGGACAAUUGUUUGUUGUUAGUUCAUUCAAGCCCCUCAUGGUAUUGUCAAAUCACUAGCAACAACCAAUGGAAACGAUGAUAGUAAAGAGUGCCACCAACCAAUGAAAGAGAUAUCAGUUGAGACUUGAGAGUCAACAAUCUCAAGAUCUACUGCUGGCCAAGUUCACUUUCUGUAAAAGAACAGUUUUACCAGCAUCUUUGCCAUAACUGAUACAAACUAUCAGCAAACACCAGUAGUGCAAAACCUAGAUUAAGAUGAUAUAGAUUUUCCCCAGUUAAAACCGAAUCAUGGUUCACCAGUUAACAUGUUAAAUUUGCAUAAAUUUACCAUAUUUGAGGUAUUCAUCAAAAUUGGGGGGCUUUAAUGCACAAUCAAACCUAUGACUAUUAACUGUGCCAUUCAAAAUAAGAAGAGACUGUAUCUGCACAAUUCUUGGAUGGGAGAAUGCUAGGCCUCAGAUCAAAAAAGGUUAACUGUGCCAUUCAAAAAAGGUUACCAGAAUGUAUAUUUCCAGAAACCUAACUCGCUGGAAUAUCUUAAAGACUAACUCAAAAAACAAAUGACCAUGCUAGCUCUUUGCUUUCUCAAUACCACUAUGCAUCCCAGAAUGCAAGCAACAAGACAUAGUUUGUACAAAGAUAACUGAGAAUAAUGACUUUCUGAACUCACCUCUUCUAGAAGCACAGAAGUUAUUCUCAACAAUACAGAUGAAUGGAUGCCUUCGUGGAGCAGCAUAUGCAACAGAUAUUCCUGCAGGUGUAUAUUGAUCUAAUAUUAGUACAUAUGAAGGGUAUCACUGGAAGUGGUAUGACAUUGAUGGAUACAGCCCAAAGAAAAACAGAUUUUUUAAUGCAAAAUAUACAUAAACAAUUGUUGCUCUUAGGGAAAACUGUAGGAUUAUGUAAGAAUUAAUGAACAAACAGAACCAAAGAAGGAACUUACACCACAAAAGUUAUCAAUGAGAAUCAUCUAUAGAUACUUGGAACUAUAGUAAAAUAGAAUAUCUAAGAAUCUACUACAGUAUCUACUAAAAUUUCCAGGUUCUCUGAAGUGAUAUUUUUUCCACCAAGGAUAUGCUAUCAAUGAAUUACAUAAAUAGUUCUGGCACAAGGAAGCAUCAUAUUACUUGAAGAACACCAAACUGUAUGAAGCUUAUAUGCAUACCACUAUCGAUAGUCAGGUUCAUGAUUUGGUGACAAUCUAGCUUGAAACUUACAAUUUAAUUAGUAUACUUCAUUAGUCACAGGAGAUAGGUCAUUUGCAAGAGAAUUCCAGUUUGUGCAGUUUUAUAGUUACAGCAAUUGACUGUAUAUCAACAAGGAUUACUUUCUCAUUCAGUAGAAAGACAUGAGUGCAAAGUGAAAAAAAGAAGUCAGAAGUGUUUUCUGAAAGUAAUCAGCUUUUAGUGCAUAAUUUGAGAACAACAGAUCAGGUCAAAUGAUCAUAAUUGUUAUUCCCUAAUAGCCUAUUUCGAGGAUGGUAUUCAUUUGAUAAAUGCUCUUUGCCCUGACAACUUUGAGGGGCUAAAAUCCUGAAUCUAAGCUAUAUCACUCUGAAACAUUCGUUUUAUGUACAUAAGAGCCUAGAACAAUUUUUUUGUCAGAUGACUAGCUACCCUUCUCCAUACAUUUAUUUGUAACUGGGGGUGCGUGGAUUAGGAGUAUUUAUUUAGGGAGCUUCCAUUUAGAUCAAGUUUGAACUAAAUUCCAAAGCUCACAUGAAAACUAGUCCCUCCGAUCCAUAAAAAGUGCCGCCUAUUUAGUACGUCCUCUGAUCCAUAUUAAUUGUCGAAAUAUUACAUGUAUCUAGACGCUUUUUAGCCAUAGAUAAAUCGAUAUUUAGGCAAUUUUGGGACAAUUAAUAUGGAUCGGAGGGAGUGCAAAAUUUGUACUGACUUAGUACAAAAUUGGAGACACUUUUUAUGGAUCGGAGGGAGUACAUCUCAUACAAACAGGCAUAGUUUCCCAGAAAGGCAGAUGCAAGCAAACUGAGAAUAUGAAAUGACACUGUUUUAAGAAGCGGACGCUUAACACGCAUAGGGCACUAGGUGCCACCUGACCACCUCACCCGACCAGUCAGUGACUAGGCGCUAGCUACCACCCUGCCAUCCCCUAGCAUUUACGCAUUUAAAACACAGGAUAAGGGUAUGUUCCACUAUAAAUAACUGCAUGACUCGAAUUUAGUAAUUUUGCAAUCUCUGACCCACAUUCGGACAAAUGGAUCAGCGAUAAAGCUUCAGAUCAGCUACUAUGAAUGAAAUAAGCAAGUAUUUGGAAAAAGUUACACAAUGUAAAUCUAAAUCUCUUAAUCUCAUUACACAACAGUUAUCUUUAUUUAUAUCUUUUGGGAAACUCAGUCUCAAAGCAACAAGGCUAUUUGUAUUGCAAGUGCUAUAUUUCAUAAUUGAGACAGGUCAAGUGUACCAUCCCAGCAUUGCACUUCUAUUAGUAUCCAUAGUCAUGUUGUAAUUUCACCAUAUUCCACAAGCAAAACAAGGCUUAUGAUGCCCAUCUGGGGUAAAAUGACCUAGCGUCCGGAAACAUGCCUCAUUCAUUUACCACCGAUCACUAUGCAAUAACCCAGCACCUAAUGUGGGAAGUGCUUCAUGAUUUUUGCAAUUCCUAUGAAGCAUUGGAUGCCGACAGCUAGAUGAGCGAAUUAACACUGUAACCUGGCUAUAUCGGAGCAGUACACAACACAAGGAGCGCAAGGGGGGACUCACCUGCUACAAGGUAGGCAGCAGAUGCGGCGAAGAGGACGGCGGAUGGCACGAAGACCACCAUCCAAUAGAAGUCGGCGGCCUCGGCUGUGGUCAUGUAGAACGCCCCACCUCGGUACCGGUACGCCUCGGGCUCCUCCUCCCGGCUGCUGGCAUUCGCCGGGAGCGCCUCCAGCAUGCGGCGUUCGCGGCAGAAGGGCCGCUCCGCGGGCUCGGCAGGGAACACGAUCCCGAGGCUGACCCCCGCCGCCGCGACGGCGGCCACGGCGACGCAGGCGGCAGCCAGCCCCGCGAGCGGGCGGCGGAGGCGCGGCAGCGCGCGCUCCUCGUGCCGCAGCGCCUCGUACGCGCCCCGCGGCAUGAUGGCCUGCCGGAGGGCGUCGCCAAGCAGUGCCAUCGGCGGCGGAAGGCUCGGUGGGCGGAGGCUACAGCCCUAGACGCGGUGUUGCCAGUAGGUGCAGGGAUUCGGGGCCGGGGAAGAGGGGAAAAGAGGAGGAACCGAGCCGCCGAGGAGGGAGGGCUUUUCGGUUGCCUUGCAGCAGAGGAAAAGACCACGAGUGUGGUGCGAUCUCUAGUUUUCUUUAGACGCUUUUUUUCUUUUGGCAAAGUCACACCUUUCGAUAUGGUUAUGCUCCGAAGUCCAAAAUUAUGGGAAAGAAAAUUGUUAAGGGAAAUUGUAAAAAGAUUUGAAAAUAUCAUUGUGGAUGUACAGGAUACUCCCCCUGCAUUAGCUGUUUUCUGCUUUCUACACGUAUCAAUGUAGAUUCUGGUGUUAUAUUGAGUGGUGCAAUGGCUAAUUUACGGGUAUCAAUGUAGAUGGGUCAUUUAAGUACAAACAGAACGUUGUCAUCUAGAAUCUCAUCAAUGCAAACCACAAUGAUUCGUGACCAGUCUUCAAUCAAUCUCCUUCCAUGCAUCUAGAAGGUCAUUAAGGUUGUUGUCAUUAACUUUUCAUGUGUGCAUUGCGUUGACACAUGGUUCGCUUUUUCAACCUCUGAUUUAUUCUUCCAAGCACAUGAAACAUGGGUUGUUCACAUUGAUUUCUAUUGGCAAUUACAUGUGGCAUUGGCUUUCUUAGCGAGCUCCUGUCGUCAUCAUCAUUGAGCUACUGGAUCGUCACACCUUUGGACACGAAAAGGAGUGUGGUGGAAGAAUUUCUAAAAUUAUCCAUGACACACGGUGUCGUAGUUCUAUGAGUAUACAUAAUUUUCCAUCUUUUAAUGGUUUGUUUGUAUUGUAGUAUUUUCAAAAGAAUGUUGAAGAAUUCUAAUUUAUAGGGGGGGAAAUGACAAGAGCCCUUUGAUCCAUAGGGAUUGGGGUUGUGGAAAUCGUGUGAAACACAUUCAUUAGAGCCCAAUUGCAUCCCAAUCCUAGAAUGAGCUCAUUUUUUUUUCUUUAACUAUUUAACUACUUCCCGAUCUAUUAUUUUUUGUUCCUAUUUAACUAAAUCUUGCCAAUAUGGAUUGAUUAAUUACAUGGAAUUAGUUAGUUUGAAUAGGUUCACGUCAUAGAGAAUUGCUUCCAAUCUUUAGCGACUAAUACCGGAGCUGGAUAUAAAUAAACAUUAAUAAUUGACCAAAUCUUUUUGAACUAAUUAAAGCUUUUUUAUGCUCUGAUCUACAUCAUCAAGUUAGUUUUCGGUCCUCAAAAACUAAUGCAAGGGCUGGAUUUGAAACUCAACUUUAUUAUGAGGCAUUGGCGAACGAUAAAAAAAAAUUAAGGUAGGGCGAACUAAUAUCCCUACACAUAACAUUUAAUAUUUAUUUAUGGUUGCAACAAUGUAUUUUGAUGUAUUUUUUUUUUAGUUUUUUAAUAAUUUGUAUGGCAUUGUAUUUUUCAACAUUUAAAAUUUGAAUAGGUGAAUUUGUAUUGAUUUUGGGAAUCAAUUUAAUAUUUACGAGUGCUCGUAACAAGGCGGCUACAAUAAGUCUCAUAGAAAUACAGAUCACUAGCAAACAUAUAGUUAUAUUUUUUGUAAAUACCUCAUCAAAAUAUGAAUGCGUGUUUGUGAUGAUCUUUGUGCUACGUAUCUUUGGUAAUCUAAUGUUUCAUACAACGCUAUAACAAAUAGAUAUGGAUUGUCAACUCAGGUUUUUGUAACUGUUAAUCUGUAGUUAUAUAUUUUAUUCUAGAAACAUCUCGGUACUUGCACACAAAAAAAGAUCAAGUAGAUACGUGACAUAGCAAACGAGACUAUUCUCAACAAAUAUAUUGUUACAUUAACAAUAGUAUAAAAAGUAUAAAAUAUAAAUGUAUUGUGUAUAAAAUAAUUGGGUCGGGCCGGCCCGAGGCCCCACCUGUGCCGUGUCUGGGCUUCAACCUCAGGCCCUCAGGCCGGGCCAGGCACGAACCGUUUAUUUAUUUUUCUUUUUUGGAUUAAUACAUUUGGCCAUUAACCUUUUCAAUUCUGGCCCAAGCCAACUCAUCUUUACAUUUGGCCCGUGAACUCAACUAGUUUUCGCCCAAAUCUAACAUUUUUUUUCUACCUUAGGCCUGAGGGGCCUUGCUGGGCCGUUGGCUACCUAUAUUUUGGCCCAUCCGUCCCUCAUCUUCCUCCUCACGUGCGCGAGCGCCGCCGCCCCUCCCUCCCCAUCCCGCUGCCAGGCGCUGCAGACCCCUGCCUCGUCUCCUCCACCGUAGGUAUCUAUCUCCCAUUCGAUUCUCUCGGUCCCGACCUCCCUUCACCCCACUAGGGGACGAACCCUUUAGCUCCCCGUCAUAAUCUUCCCCAAUUCGUAACUGAGGCAAAAAUCAAGGUAGGGCGGCCGCCCUACCUUGCCCUAUCGAGUCCUCCGCCCGUGUUAUGAGGUGACCACAAAAGGAUAGAUAGGUGAUCAUGAUAAGGAGAAUAUAUCAUAUAUUAUGUUAGCUCUAUCUCUAGUGGUACUACUAUGGCGCGGUAGUUUUUUAUGGGGAUCAACCACAAUUGCAUAUUCUCGAAAUUUGUGCCUCAAAAUGAUGUGAUCUUUGCUCUGAAAGAUCAAGACUGUUAUGAUGCAUAUUCCUAUAUAAGGGGAAGGAGGCACCUAUGAGAAGGGACCACAAACUACACCCAAAAAGAAAAGAAAAACAUAUGCAAGAGUCAUGCUUGAACACCCCGAGUAUAUAUGGAGCCAUAUCCAUCUCGUCUAGUUCUAGAUCCGAUCCUCUGGGUGGAUCGCCACAUUGACUUGAUACCCUGGUGGUCCUCUGGAGAUAAUAAAGAACAAAGCACGAUGUAGCCUUUUACCCUAAGCAAGACCUCAACCUGGGUAUAUCGGUGUCUAAUUCUACUUCCUGCUUUAUCGAAUCUUUGUUUGGCCAACAAUCGCCUCUUGCGUAUUAUUGAAUCUAUCAAACAUCUAUUUUCUUAUUUAUUGAGUCUUCGUUUGGAGAACAAUUGCCUCUCGUGUAUUGUUCAAUCGAACAUCUAUUUCCUCAUUUAAUGAAUGUUUGUUGGCCAACAAUCACCUCUUGUGUAUUGUUUUGAAUACAAGAUGAAUAGAUGAUUUGACCGAAUGAGUUCGAAUCAUUAUAUAUAUAAUAAUAAUAAUUAAUGUAUGCAAGUAGAAUAUAUUCACAAGGACUAUUCUAGGGCACCAAUUUGGAUGUCCAUAGGCUAGUCAAUCUUCAGAUUUACACCCCCGAGGGAGCUCACUUGAACUGCACAUUGCUAGAAAAUGUUUGGCCGAACUUCCAGCUGGGUGGCACCAAUUUUUUGAAUGCAAGUGUUUGGCCAUUAUUGUUGGUCACUCUGAAUGAGAGGCUCUGACCAGUGAGGUACGCCAGAGAGUGCCAAUUUGCACCCCAGUUGCGUGCCAUGGGCAUCCAAUCGGAUGAAUUGGCGCCCCUAACGUCCAUUGACUUGAUCGAACCAAUACCUCCGACAUUGGUCACAAGAACAAGCUGGAAGUAGUCAUGUCCGUUGAUCGUGAACCGCACACCGCCUCGCCUCACACAUGGAACCCUGCAGUUAGGCAUCAUUAGUCGAAGACAACCGCUACAAGUGACUUCGUCAAGAUUUUGUGACAUAUUUACUCUUUGCGGUGUGUGGCCGUGUGUGCUUCGGCACAGAGACUGGGUGUGUGAUACUCUUUGCUUGUAUCGUUCGAUAUAAACUUUGAGAUCAAUAAAAACUACCAUUUUCGGAAAAAAAAAUUACUCUUUGCAGCUUGCUUUUUUUUCUCGAUUUUGUUCUUCUUUUAUUAGGUACCUUCGGUACACAACUGGGAUGAUGCCGGCUCGAUAAACACCGAUCUUCUCCCAGGCCGGCUGCGCCAUGUCAAAGUGUGGUCGUGGUGGGUUGCACCAGCCACCAUUGUCGCUCGGCAAAUCGUAGUUGGGCGGGCAGAAAUUUGUGGCCGUGAUGGUCACCGUCUCACCGACUUUACACCACCCUGGGUCCACCAGCUUGCUGUCACACGCAAUCUUGUAACACUGCCCGCAAGAUGCCCCGUCAUUGAAGAGCGCCGUGCUCAGCGCUGCCGUGUUUGUGCCGUACCCCGUCGAGUACAGGUUGCCAUACCCGCAUGCACCACCUGCCGUAUGCAAACAUUCACCAUGACCAUGCCAAGAUUAGUUUCAAAGGGUUUCUGGAUCAGACUUAUUCUUAACAUGAUAUAUAUCUUUCCAGCAGAAAGAGUAACUAUGAUGUGUUAGCAAGGGCUAGUUUACCCAUGGUGCCGGCACCGUCCGCGCCCCCGUAAAAUGUCGCAUGCGCCUUCAGUAAUCCUCCACCAGAUGCAGGUGCGUCGACGUCGUCGGCGGUGACGGCCAACGCGCAGCCCAGUAGUGCGAGGACCAGCGGUGCUAACACCCUUGCUUGAGCCAUACCUUAAAACUGCACGAGGUCGCUGAAUAUACUUAAGCUGAAUGUUUAAAGUAUAUGAGAGGCAGGCAGGCAGGCAGCAGCAGUUUUGUUGGGUUCUAUUGCUGUUGCUGUGUGUCGAGAUUUGGGUCGAUGCGCAAUUGUUUCAUUGUUUCACAUAGUCUCGUGAUGAUUGGGUUGUGUACAUAUAGGGCUGGUGCCUGGAGCGACGCUGCACAGCAGGGAUGCAGAAUUGGUGGCUAAAUUCGUAACCAAGUGAACCCGAGGACGCCGUCGAAUGAAGCAAGCGCGGCGCCGGCAUGUGCAUGCACGGACAAAGCAGCUGACCGCACAAAAAGCUUGCUUGAUAUUCCGAACAAAGAUAUGGCAGCGCCGGCACGGUUUAUGCACUCCAUGUUUUUGUGUGUUUCAGUUUUUUCCCUCCUUUAAGAAAAAGUUUCCCGUAGUAGUUCAUUACUAGUCAACUUCUCAUUUUUCACAUUUUGCUUCGUAGACAUACACAAAUGCAAAUUCUCAAAUUAUAAAUGUGCAAGUUGCUCAUUUGACUUAGCGGUACAAAAUUGUACUACAUCAGCGACACUUGCUAUGGAUCAGGAUCAGAGAGAGGUCGCCAUCCAGACCGACGACCGUCUCCUCCGGGUCAGGACCUGCUUCACCUCCAUUUGUCGCACCGUGCCCCGUCGCUGCUGCCAUGCUGCUCCUGUCGUCGUGCGCCGGCUCUGUCUGCUUCGUCGCCAUCGCGCCCCUGCUGUACCGCCGACAAGGCACACCCUUCUCCGCCGCCGCCCCAGCUCGUCCCUGCUCCGCCGCCCAGCACCCCCCUUCUCCGCAGCGCGACAUGCUCCGCCCCUAGCCCACGCCGCUCCACCGUCGCUGGACCCCUGCUCCGCCCCUGGCCCGCGGGUCUCCGUGUCCGCCACGCCUCCGGCCCACGGGGCUCACCCGUUGUUGCCGCUGCCCUUCGCGGCCACCGGCCCGCAGGCCCCACGCUGUCUCACCGCUGCUGCACGUCGCGACUGCCGAACGCUGCCGCCCUUUGCGGUCGCCCAGCGCACGCCACCGCCCUUUGCGGCUGCCGCCCUGCGUGCCCCAUGCCACCGACAAGAGCUAUCGGGAGGAGGAGAUCAGGGGAGGAGGAGAGAGAAGAGAUCAGGGGAGGUGGAGGAGAGAGGAGAUAUGGAGGAGAUAUGGAGGAGAAAGAAAGUUGGGAGGAGAAUCGGGCGCGCUGUGUCUCUUGAUGGCCUUGCACGAAUUUCCAACAAUGCCGUACCAGAAGACAACGGACGCCAAUUAUUAAAUUACCCGUACAAUACAAAUAUGUAUGUAUCUAUAUAAAAAACGUUUAGAUACAUGUAAUAUUUCGACAAGUAAUAUGGAUGGGAGGCAGUAUGAAAAUCCAACAAACCACGCUUGGUUCUUGCGGUUGAGGGUUUACGGCACUCAAGUUUUUGAGCCAUUUGGUCAGAUGAAUCGAGUUCGUAUGCACAAGAUUUUGAGUGAAAAGUCUUUCAACUUUCCGCCAAAGUAAUUGGAACACGGGCUGGCCUUUUGUUGGUUCGCGUUCGCUCUGGCCUCUGGGGCUCUGCGCGCCGUAUCGAGCAUCGACCUUCGACCCGACCGUAUCUGGCUCUCUCGCCCGGUCGCCCCGCGUUUCGGCCCCACCUCGUUCUUCCCUGGAAUCUAGCCAGCCAGACAGACUUCCGUCCCCCUCUAUCGCCGGCGGCGGAGAACCUGCGGCGAGACGAGAUGACGGUGGCUGCGGGGGUGGGGUACGCGCUGAUCGCGCUGGGCCCCGCCUUCUCCCUCUUCACCGGCGUCAUCGCCAAGAAGCCCUUCCUCGUCCUCACCCUCCUCUCCAGGUCUCCCCCGAAACCCCAAUCGUCUCUUAAACCUCCACUGCUGCGUUUGGAUCAAAUCGUUUGUUCCGAUUUUAGUGUAGCAGUAUAGUAGAAUUAUACGCAGCUUCCCGAUUGGCGUAAGAAAUUCAGCUGAGGCGUUCACGUGGGGAUUCGUGAGGAUUUCGGUCGCUUCUUGGUUCGCUUGUGCUAGGGUUUGCAGUUCCUUGUGGACCUCUACUCUUUUUGCCUCGCUGGCCGGUUUGCUGCUUGCAAGAUCGAUCCGUAUGCUGCUUGCAAAAGCUAUCUUGUGAUGAAUGUUGCUGAUAAUAUUCCUCAUCAUACCUUGUGUUGGAGUGCAGGAUACAGAGUGUAUGAUUCACAGGAUGUACAUGAGUACUGUUGGGGCUUCUAGUUCUGACACAACAGGAAACUUAUAAUGUGAUAAGCAAUCUUUUUGGCUGUCUUCCAGAAUAAAUUGUAGAGAAUGUAAAAUGUUUUUUAAUGAAAUUCUAAAAAAAUAGUUGAUGGCAAAACAAAAUUCAAUCGUCAGAUCUGCUGUUACGUUUUCUGGUAUCAAGCCACUGCAAGGACUGAAUCUGUCUGUUCUCCAAGGAAAUUAAUUGUUAGAAAUCAUACGAGGGAUAUUUGCAAUAUUAUAUGGGAUGUUAGCAUAUUUGUUAUCUGGGAUGUUAGUACUGUGGACAGUAGAAUGUUUGUUUUUAUUCUGUAAACUAACAUUACUACUUUCAUGCCUGUGUGGACAUUGCUUGAAGUCUUCAUCUAUGAAAUUUGUUUAGAAUAAGAAAAUUCUACAGUGGCAGCAAAGCAGUGCGACCAUUAAAAUCUAUUCUCCUGUCCGCCUGCAAUCAUUCACAAUAUUUCAGUGUGCCCUUUGUUUGGAGAUGUAGAAUACACAAAAGUCUCAGUAGAAUGCCUGGUAUUGCUAACUGGUUAACAUACUUCAUCAAGAAACUUAAGGCUAUAUAUCUGUGAUAUGUGAUUUGGCAUUUUGUAAAACUUCCAAUCUGCUUCGUAUGGCUUCAUAAAGCAUAUCCAUGGCUUUUUUAGAUCAAAAAUAUCAUUUGAAAUCCUGUGUUGAAAAAGGAAACGCUUCAUGGAGGUAUCUGUAUGAUCCUAAACAAAAAGGUUCGUGACUCGGUCAUCUGAACAAUAGGAAUUCAAUCACCAAGCAAGUAGUAUCAUUAAGAAGGUACUGGGGGAUUUUGAAUCAUGUGAGCUUCUUCGGCUUAGUUUCUAUUAGACACAAGAUCAUGCUCUUACGCUUCUAAAUAAGGUCCAUUUUAGGACUUCUAUAUUCAUAUCCUUCUAAUUUUUGCCCAACUUCUGUGCAUUUAUUAAUUUGAGUAAUAUUCUCGACUAUUUUUGGGUAUGUCCUUCAGCAGUGAUGCAGCCAGGAGGAUGUGCACAGCCAGUAAGGCUACCUUUUUAUAGUGCGAUCAGGGUUAGAACUUAGGGAGGUUUUGAUCGUAUGAUGUCUUGCGUGUUUUAAUUUAUUGGAUUAGUUUCCAAAGCAACGGGAUUAGUUAUUAUUUGGUUCCCAAGAUAUCGGUUUUGCCUCGGAAGAAUCAGAAAGUCCACCGUCUAUAUUAGCAUAAGUAUUGUGCAAAUCUGGGCGAGCAACAUAAUCUAGAAACCAUCACUAUCUAUGUUGAUCUCAGAGCCCUGUUGUAGCAAUGAACUUUAUCUAGCAGAACGGCAAGUGGCUCACUCCCCAUAAUCGAUACCCUAUUCCAUCCAAACUCAACUGCUUGUGCUAUGAUUCUUAAGCCCCUAAAAUAGAAAGUUCUACUAUAUGUUCUGUUAUAACGAUCCAAAUGGAAAUACAUUAUCAUGAUUGAAAAUGUAAUUACUGCCAAAUUUAUUCGUGCAGCACAUUGUUUUGGCUUAUAAGUUUGAUAGUCAUCUCGGGAAUAUGGAGGGGGUUUCUUCCUGUAAAAUCAGGAGCAUGGUGGCCAUAUGUACUUCUGAUCCUUACAUCUGUUAUGUUUCAAGAAGGCAUCCGUCUUGUCUUCUGGAGGCUUUACAAGUAGGUAAACCAUAUAAAUUGUUGGAAGUUACUUCCUCUUGUUGGCAAUUCAUGUUCUUAUGUGCCAAAGUGCUUGCAAUAGAGGUUAUACAUUUAUUUAUUUUCCUUAUGAUAUAUCAUUGUUUCAGGAAAGUGGAAGAGAUGUUAGAUGCAUUUGCCGAUAGAAUAUCUAAACCACGUCUCUCUUUGACAGACAAGAUGCUCAUUUCUUUAAGUAAGUUUUUCUGGUAAUACAUAACUAUUGCUGGCUUGUGUUUUGCCCAGGAUUUUAACUGGUUAUAGACAGCUGCAGAUAUCUCUACGAUUGUUCUAUUUCUUUGAGUGAAUGUGUGCAUAUCAUAAUUGGAGAUGUGCUCAAUCAUGCCUCCAAUUUAAAAUGGGCCAUGCAUUGCAAAUAAAAUUCACAGCAUUUUAUAGUCAUCCACUAGAUCUUCAGGCGACUGUAAUUCAUUCCAACUCUAACAACAAGUAUUACACAGGCUAAUAGUUGCUUGUAGUAUUCUAAAUUUUGUAGUCGUGAUAGAGCAAGCAUAGCUUAUUCGGUUCUCCAACAUUUAAUCUGGAACGACAUAACCAUGGAUCAUAUUGUUGACUCAAGUGAAUGCUAAAUCCAAGGAUGUGCAUUCACUGAUUGAUUGAUGGGAAACAUUUGUUCUUCAUUACUCUUCAGGAUGUCACGAAUUACUACUGCCACAGUUCUUUGCUCAUCUCUAUAUUUAUAUGUUUGUGCAGCUGGUGGUUUAGGUCAUGGACUCGCUCAUGCAGUCUUUUUCUGUCUCAGCCUUUUAACUCCAGCAUUUGGUCGAGCCACAUUUUAUGUCGAAAGGUGCUCCAGGAUGCCAUUUUUCCUAGUGUCAGGCAAGUCAGAGUUUUCCUUUACUCCCUAAUAGUAGACACCAUGGAAUUGAAGAAACUUUCUUUCUAAUUGGAUGUCUGGUAAACAAAUUCCAGGACAACUAUUUUGGUUAUAACACAUUUUAUUCUAUGUUGUCAACAUAGUUUGUUUCUCCAAGAUCCAAUGGUUUUGGCUGCCAAACUGCAUUCUCCUGAAUUUGUUUUCCUUUGCUAAACCAUAUGUACUAUUUGCAGCCAUCAUUUCACUUGGAUUCUUGCUCAUCCAUACUUUCUCGAUGAUUAUUGCUUUUAAUGGAUAUGGAGAGAGAAAGAAAAGUGACCAGAUCUUUGUCCCAGUGGUUCAUUUGAUUGCUGCUGUAAUGGUAAGAACUGGGUCUUAGAUUGUUUUUGUUGGAUUAAAAUUCUCGCUGUCUCUUACAACUGGCCUGACAAUGCUUGAACAUAUUUAUGUUUGUUCUUUGCUUUAAUGAUCAUGUCUAUUGCAUUGGUCAUUUUCAUCUGACCCCAAUACAUUGAUGUAAAGAGGUCUUUGGUAAACUUUACCCCUUAUAUUGGGUCCAUCCAUUUACUCUUCACUAGUAUAAACUGUUGUCUACUGAAAUGUGGAAGAUUUAUCAAUGGAAGUUGAAUGCAGAAUACCAUAGGGUUGUUCAAAAACAAGUUCAGUUUUGCAAAAAAUGUAGUCUCAGGUUCCUUCAAGAUACUGUUAUUAUUGAACUGAAAUUUCUUUCCAUGUAGCUAAUUGCUUGUGUGUUGCUACAGAAGUUCUUCUAUUACAUGAGUUCUGUAAACACUUCUGCCAUCAAGGUUUCUAAUUUUGUGCGAAAUAGAAUAUUAUCUCAAAAUACACAUCAAUUGAUAGUGAUGCAUAUGCCUACUACAUAGAAUGUAUGAUCAUUGCUCUUAGCAACUUAACAGGUAGUCUAAGUGAGGGUGAACAGAUUGCCACCAACUCAGAUCUUUAUAAUGCUCCUUCCGUGUCAUAUUAAGUGACUCAAAUUUGCCCAAAUAUGGAUGUAUCUAUACCUAAAAAGCGUCUAGAUACAUGUAAUAUUUGGGCACUUAAUAUGGGACGGAUGGAGUAGUAUAAUAUAAUUUGUUGGCAACUUAAGAGGUAAUUUGUUGAGGGUAAACGAAUCUUCACCAACUCCGAUCUUUAUAAGGGUAAAGAAAAUCUGAUCAAAUGUACAGAAGCAUUGAUUGAGCAAACAUUGAAUAUUUGCUGUUUUCUGUAAUUUUGACACCUAUAGACUACUAAUUCUGUGUGGUUUUGAAGUAAUUUCAUAUUGCACGGAUGACUGAACAAUUGAAAUAUUUUCACCUAUUAUGAUUUUCAUCUAUAUCACUUCAUCGAGUUAAGGUAAUAAUAGUAUGUAUACCUCAACCAUGUAGUCCUUCCUUUUCUUUUUAGGGCGUAAUUUGUUUCAGUAAGACAAGCCUUUGAGCGACAAUUACUUCGUAAAUAUAUGAUUUAUUUGAUACAACAUCACAAUCAUUAAUGAGUACUUUUUUAAUACCAAUGUAAUGACAUUAAUUCUAUCUCAUAUAAAUUGCAUCCUAAUGAUGUAAUUUUUGGUCAAAGGCUUGUCUUAAUGAAACAAACUACACCCUAUAAAAAGAAAGAAUUCUACCAUAUGUUGUUGCUUUUGAUAAAUCAGAUUCAAACUAUGCAUUGCUGGAUUUAUGCCUAACCUAUUGUGUGAUUUGCUCAUUUCAGACACUAAUUAACCUUGCGCCAGGAGGCUGUCUCAUUGGUACGCCUUUGUUAUGCGUCAUGGCUGCGGUUACCUUACAGUACUCAUGGCGAAUGGUAGAGCAGAGACUAACUGAGCAGCAGCAUCGUCAGUUUAACAGCUAGCGUUUGCCCUAUGCUCGUUGCAUGAAAUUUCAUCUUGUAGGCUUGUCUGUAUGUUGUUCUUUUGCUAGGACAACAGUGCGUAGAUUUAGUGAUUAUGCUACUAGCGUGCUAAGAUUAUUAAAACAAUGUUCACGGUGAGCCCGUGCCUUUCUGUUGGGUUGCUCCUGGUACUUCUACUGUGAUGAUCUUAUUGUUAUAUGGAUAGGUGCAAAGUUUCAUCGCUCAGUUACUUUGCACUCUUGAUGAAUAUUCUCAUCCACAAGUACUUGCACUUAGUGACUACCCCGGCUAUCAUUAUAACUUAAACCAUUGCGCUACCAACUUGAUUUGGUUAAAGGGAAAUAUCCAGUGAAAACUCUCUUUGGGUGCAAACUUGCAAACUUUCGUCUUAGGCCAUCCGAUCUAAAACGUACCGUCCAGAUGAGAGGUGGGAAUGAAACCCAUCACUUAAACACGAUUUUUUUAGAAAACCCCCUGCCAAGCCCAGCUUUAGCGCGAUACAGGGAGAGAAAACGAUUCACAAGUCCCUGUUCCCGACUUCCUGUUCCCUGCCGAUGUGGCGAGUGGCGACCUGGAUAUCAUUGACGCCGGCGACCCUGCCCUCUCCUUGCAACGGCGACCAUCGAACCAGCCCUCUCCUCGCUAGGGAAGCCGGAGACCCGGCCCUCUACUCUUGACGGUGGCCGGUGCCCAACCCGAAACCCCUCUCCUCGGCCGCCUCACACCGCUCCUCUUGCGAGGGUAAAUCCGAGGCCACAGCCUUGCGGCGGCAUAGCAGCCGCGCGGGCGGCGGCGUUGCACCACGCAGUACCCAAGGAGGCGCUGGAACCCUGCUGCAGCCACCGCGACCUGGCGCCGCCCCGACCCCACGGCCGGGCGCGACGGCAAUCUCCUCGACGUUGCUUGCCUGGCGGCUGCGGCGCUGCGAAGGUCACCUUGUCGCCUGCCGUGGGCUGUAUGGCCUGAAUUUCUACGGCUGGUUGGUUUCUGAAGCUGCGAGCUGCUGUGUUGCUGGAGCCAUCCAAAUUGAUCGGGGAAGGAUGUGUUUCUGCAUCAUGAGUUGCUCCCUCGUUGCAAUCGUGGGUUUGUAAAACCAAAUCACAACUAUGCACGGCAGGGGACAAAGAAUCAGCGGCAAGGUUGCUUAUGACGGUCAGACAAUGGUGUGUGCUCAGAAGGGCGGGUCACGGCCGGCAGAGAACGGGCCGGGGCAUCACGGAUUCAUGGCCAUCGACAGAGCACGUGGCGGCGGAGCGCCUGGAAUAACAGUCCGCGGAGGAGUGCUGGACGGUCAGACGGGGCAAUUAGAUGUUUAGGAACAACCCUGCAGUCGGGAGGAAGGCCAACACCAGCUACCGGAACAACAUCGAUGCUCCAUCAGCGGGCAGCAAAGAAACCAUUAGACGGCGAAGAAACGAACCGUUUUUUCUUUUUACAUAAAAUGAAGCGUUAGGAAGCGGGGGGUUUCUGAAAAAUUGCGUCUAAGUGAUGGGUUUCAUUCCCACCUCUCAUCUGGACGGUACGUUUUAGAUCGGAUGGCUUAGGCCGAAAGUUUGCAAGUUUGCACCUAAAUAGAGUUUUCACUGGAUAUUUUCCCUUGUUAAAAGUGACAAUUAUUCAGUAACUUAGGUAUUUAUUUAUUUAUUUAUUUAUUUAUUUUCUUCCAUCCGGAAUGAUGUUGCAAUAUACCUCCUGUGCUUUGGAUGUGGAUUCCCAAAUGGUGGCUCUCUUCUAGAGUUAAGUUCAUAUAACCCUUGAACUAUGAGGGUGGGACUACUUUACCCCAUAACUUCAAAACCGGUUAUUUAACCUCCCUGAAAUUCGACAAAUCACCACUUGAGACCACAUCGAGCUGUUUUUGGGGUGGUUUUGCUGUCUUGGCGGCUGGGAAAUGUCACACUGUCUGAUUUAGGGCGGUAAUUAGUUUGAGCAUGAUCUAUAUAUAACAAAACGUCAUCAUUUCAGUUGCAUCUCAAAACGUGAAACUUCAAAGAGCAUGAAUUUGAUCAUGCUUAACACAAUGUAGAAAUAGCAUACACUUGUCCAAAAGCUAAGAUAGCUUGAACACGAGCAUGCUUAACAUAUCAAAAUAUCUAAAUUAGCCAGACACUAUUAACCCUCGUGAUGAGAGCGAGCUUCUCCUGUUGUCUAAUUUCAGCUCUGAGGAUGAACCCUAGUUUUCGGAAUGAAAAAGGAAGGAAAUAAAAGGGAAAUGGAAAAUGAGGAAGAUCUGAAAAAGUUGACGGGGCUUUCCCCGGCUAGACCAACUGAUCUCCGCGCUAAAAUUGACAUUAUGACAUUUGUCAGUCGCCAUGUCAGCAAAACGCCGGGGUGAUUUGUCUGGUUUUGUGAAAUUCAAGGGGUUAAGUAAUCGGUUUUGAAGUGCACAGAGUAAAAGUAGUUCCACCCUCGUGGUUCAGGGGGUUAUAUGGACUUAACUCUCUCUUGUAAUGCUAUAUUUUUAUUUUAUUUUGCGGAACCUACCUCCAAAACGUGAAGUAAAUACCAGCCCUCCUACUAAAAAUACAACAAUCCAAGUAGGUCUAGCUAAUUGCCUAGGUUUAUCUUCACUACAUGAUGUCCAUUUGUGUAGGCAGAAAAACUGCCGGCAAAAGUGACCUACGCCGACAGUUGAGGCUGCUUGCUAUAUUGCUGACGGGAAAGUUCCUUGGAUCAAAGUCUAGUCUUUUGUGGAUUCAAUUGUUAGAUUGCUUUAAAAAAAUAGUAUUGCCAUUAAUUUAGGAAUAAGUGAUUACAAAUCUGAAGGAUGCAAAAAAUUACAAAAAGGCCCUUUGUAACACAAGGGCUAUCCAACCACUCAUGGAGGGGACACGUGUAAGGCCAUGUGUUCUUGCUCCCUCUUGUAGUUAAAGAAUAUCUUGAACAAGCAUGGACGCUCCAACUGAUGCACUCACUGACUCACAUAAUUCAACAAAUGGAGUGACUGUGCUCUUCCGCCCUAAUUACAACACACAUGCUGUCAGGCAAACAGGUUUAGGAAGAUCUACGAAGUGCAUGCUGCAGUGUAAAGCUAGCUUGGGAAACUGAGUUAUCACGAGCAAGAAAUAUUUCCAGGAGAACAAUUAGUAGGGAACAAAAUCUGUUACUGGCUGACCAUAAGAAUGAUAUAUGAGCGCAACUGAAAUCCUCCAAGCACUCCACAAAAAAAAGAUUAAAAAAAAAAUCCUCCAAGCAGGAGCAGCUAGCACACAAUUGGAUGAUUUAUUAUACAGACUGUAUGUAGGAGUAAGUACUUUUACAAAAGCAAAUAUCAGCGGUUAACAUAAUCAAGCACACAGCCACAACAGUAAAUAGAUAAGCAAAGCAGCACACAGACUUUAGCACGUACGAGCUACACAUGCAUAAUCGCAAGAUCUACUUCAUGAAGCCCUGAGCCAUCUUGAACAGACCGCCGCCGCUCUCCUCCGCUUCAGGCUUCGGUGCAGGCUCCUUGGGCGCCUCCUCCUCCGCUUCCGGCUUCGGCGGCGCAUCGACGGCAGCAGCUGGAGGUGCCGCGGCGUCGGUAGGCUUCUCCUCGGUGCCGCCGGCGCUGUACUGCUUCAGGUACACCUCGGCCUUCUCCAUGUACUGCCCCACCGGCUUGUCCUCCAGCUUGGCGUAGGCGGAGGCGGAGUCCAGGAUCUCCGCAGAGGCGCCCGCGACCUUCUUCUUGUCCACGUUCUCCACGCUCUUCUCCUGGAACGCAGACAUGGCGGACUCCGCCACCAACUUGCCGCUCGACAUCAGGUCACCGGAUGACUUCUUGAAA